CUCAAAACCCUAAAGUGCCAAGAAUCACCAAAUUGAAGGGCAGAACUAGCUCAAAUCAGAUGCAUGAACACGAAUUCAUGAUCACCUAGUCAUGGGGAUUACAAGAUGGAGGCUUGGGCAAGGAGCGGGUCAAACGGAUCGGGUACGCGAAAAAGGAGCAUAACCGGAUGCAAGGAGCAAUUAACGAUUCGGAUACUCCCGUCACCAUAGAAAAUGUGAUAAUAAAAGCGAGGUAUAAAUCGGGUCUAUUUGUUGAUCCGAGC